UACAGAGGUCUCAAGCGUUGUUCGGAUUCAUUGGGCGUAAAGGGUGCGUAGGUGGCGCGGUAAGUCGGGUGUGAAAUCUCGGAGCUUAACCCCGAAAUUGCAUUCGAUACUGCCGUGCUCGAGGACUGGAGAGGAGACUGGAAUUCAUGGUGUAGCAGUGAAAUGCGUAGAGAUCAUGAGGAAGACCAGUGGCGAAGGCGGGUCUCUGGACAGUUCCUGACACUGAGGCACGAAGGCCAGGGGAGCAAACGGG
rnacentral:rRNA from 1 species